rnacentral:rRNA from 1 species
UAGAGUUUGAUCCUGGCUCAGAUUGAACGCUGGCGGCAGGCCUAACACAUGCAAGUCGAGCGGUAACACAGAGGAGCUUGCUCCUUGGGUGACGAGCGGCGGACGGGUGAGUAAUGCCUGGGGAUCUGCCCGAUAGAGGGGGAUAACUACGGGAAACUGUAGCUAAUACCGCAUAACGUCUACGGACCAAAGUGGGGGCUCUUCGGACCUCAUGCUAUCGGAUGAACCCAGGUGGGAUUAGCUAGUUGGUGAGGUAAUGGCUCACCAAGGCGACGAUCUCUAACUGGUUUGAGAGAAUGACCAGUCACACUGGAACUGAGACACGGUCCAGACUCCUACGGGAGGCAGCAGUGGGGAAUAUUGCACAAUGGGCGCAAGCCUGAUGCAGCCAUGCCGCGUGUGUGAAGAAGGCCUUCGGGUUGUAAAGCACUUUCAGCGGGGAGGAAGGGUCACUAGUUAAUACCUAGUGGCAUUGACGUUACUCGCAGAAGAAGCACCGGCUAACUCCGUGCCAGCAGCCGCGGUAAUACGGAGGGUGCAAGCGUUAAUCGGAAUUACUGGGCGUAAAGCGCACGCAGGCGGUUUGUUAAGUCAGAUGUGAAAUCCCCGAGCUCAACUUGGGAAUUGCAUUUGAAACUGGCAAGCUAGAGUCUUGUAGAGGGGGGUAGAAUUCCAGGUGUAGCGGUGAAAUGCGUAGAGAUCUGGAGGAAUACCGGUGGCGAAGGCGGCCCCCUGGACAAAGACUGACGCUCAGGCGCGAAAGCGUGGGGAGCAAACAGGAUAAGAUCCCCUGGUAGUCCACGCCGUAAACGAUGUC